UCGAGCUUUCUACAGGAGCCAAAAGGGGUUCUCCUACUUGAACCCUAAUUCAUACAAAUCAACUGAAUCGAAAGGGCAAAUCAAACCCAAAUCGAAAACCAAGCUCAAAUUAGUGAUCACCUAAGUGAAGGGAUCACAAGCAAGGGGAUUGAAUCUUCAAGCGGACAAGCCGGAGCGGACGCGCGCUUGAAGGAAAAGCUGUGAAGGCGAUUGUAGCAAGCAUCCGGAUGAAGAUCAAACAAGGAAGUAAACCAAACACAUGUCAAAUGUUUUUCAUGUGGGUCAAGAUUAGGGAUGGUAAAAAUACUCGAGUUCGACGGGUAUACCCGAAACUUGACACAAAUAAUACGGGUAUACCUGACACCCGAUGAGUAUUAGGCCGGGUAUGAGAUUAGUUUUAAAAAUUUUUUUGCUUGUUGAAUAGAUUUGUUUCUUUAUUGGAUUGGUUUUGACCGGACGGUUUCAUUAUCAUAAAGAAAGGGAAGUG